rnacentral:rRNA from 1 species
AGAGUUUGAUCCUGGCUCAGAACGAACGCUGGCGGCAGGCUUAACACAUGCAAGUCGAACGGUUGUAGCAAUACAGCAGUGGCGCACGGGUGAGUAACGCGUGGGAACGUGCCCUUUGGUACGGAAUAACGUCGGGAAACUGACGCUAAUACCGUAUACGCCCUUCGGGGGAAAGAUUUAUCGCCAAAGGAUCGGCCCGCGUUAGAUUAGCUAGUUGGUGGGGUAAUGGCCUACCAAGGCUCCGAUCUAUAGCUGGUCUGAGAGGACGACCAGCCACACUGGAACUGAGACACGGUCCAGACUCCUACGGGAGGCAGCAGUGGGGAAUAUUGGGCAAUGGGCGAAAGCCUGACCCAGCCAUGCCGCGUGAGUGAUGAAGGCCUUAGGGUUGUAAAGCUCUUUUACCAGGGACGAUGAUGACGGUACCUGGAGAAUAAGCUCCGGCUAACUUCGUGCCAGCAGCUGCGGUAAUACGAAGGGAGCUAGCGUUGUUCGGAAUUACUGGGCGUAAAGCGUGCGCAGGCGGCUAUAUAAGUCAGAGGUGAAAUGCCAGGGCUCAACCCUGGAACUGCCUUUGAAACUGUAUAGCUGGAGUCUCGGAGGGGUUAGGGGAAUUCCUAAUGUAGCGGUGAAAUGCGUAGAUAUUAGGAGGAACACCAGUGGCGAAGGCGCCUAACUGGACGAGUACUGACGCUCAUGCACGAAAGCGUGGGGAUCAAACAGGAUUAGAUACCCUGGUAGUCCACGCCCUAAACGAUGAGUGCUAGCUGUCGGGAGGAUACCUUCCGGUGGCGCAGCUAACGCGUUAAGCACUCCGCCUGGGGAGUACGGUCGCAAGACUAAAACUCAAAGAAAUUGACGGGGACCCGCACAAGCGGUGGAACAUGUGGUUUAAUUCGAGGCAACGCGAAGAACCUUACCAGGCCUUGACAUGCCCUCUAUAGAAUGCAGAAACGUAUCCUUUCACCUCGGGUGGGAGGAGCACAGGUGCUGCAUGGCUGUCGUCAGCUCGUGUCGUGAGAUGUUGGGUUAAGUCCCGCAACGAGCGCAACCCUCAUCCUCUGUUGCUAACAGGUAAUGCUGAGAACUCUGAGGAAACUGCCGGUGAUAAGCCGGAGGAAGGUGGGGAUGACGUCAAGUCCUCAUGGCCCUUACGGCCUGGGCUACACACGUGUUACAAUGGCAGUGACAAUCGGUUGCUACUCCGCGAGGAGAUGCCAAUCUGUAAAAGCUGCCUCAGUUCGGAUUGUACUCUGCAACUCGAGUACAUGAAGCUGGAAUCGCUAGUAAUCGUGGAUCAGCACGCCACGGUGAAUACGUUCCCGGGUCUUGUACACACCGCCCGUCACACCAUGGAAGUCGGUUCCGCCUUAAGCCAUUUCGCUAACCGCAAGGGGGCAAAUGACCACGGCCAGGGUCGGUGACUGGGGUGAAGUCGUAACAAGGUAACCGUA